AGCUUUGCACAGUGGCAGUAUCGUAGCCAAUGAGGUUUAUCCGAGGCACGAUUAUUGCUAAGAAUGUUUAAAGAACAAUUGGCAAGAUAGGAUCUAGUUUAUAAACUAUUAUAAACUAAAUAUAUAUAACAUGUAUUAUAAAUAU